rnacentral:misc_RNA from 1 species
CAUAGCCAAUGACUACCUCAGCGUAAGUUUUUAAGCGUGAAAAGUUUUCUGAAAGCCUCAAGUAUGUUGGUUGUUAAUAUCUGAUCGCGUUUAGAGUUGAUUUUUGAAGUUUUACUCAAAUCCAGUGAAGGGCAAUAUUGAGUGUUUCAAAUGGUAUUGAGUAUACAGCUGCAUUUAACAAACCAUCAAUUCAUUCCUGGCAUUUUACAUUUAUUGUGAAAAAUGGAAUUUUUUUGGUUCUUGUUGUGAAGUAGGUAAGCUAGGAAAAAUCAAUUUCAACCUCGUUAUCUUAGGCAGGUUUUGGCUAAAAAGUUUGG